rnacentral:rRNA from 1 species
CGAACGGGAAGCUUAGUUUUCAAUCUUCGGAUAGAAUUUUAAGUGGAUAGUGGCAAAAGGGUGAGGAACACGUGGGUAAUCUACCUCUAAGUUAGGGACAACCAUUCGAAAGGAUGGCUAAUACCGAAUGUGGUCAGUCUGUCGCAUGACAGAUUGAUUAAAGGCGGGGUCUUUCGGGACCUGCCGCUUGGAGAGGAGCCCGCGUCCCAUCAGCUAGUUGGUGAGGUAACAGCUCACCAAGGCUAACGGGUAGCUGGUCUGAGAGGAUGACCAGCCACACUGGGACUGAGACACUGCCCAGACUCCUACGGGAGGCUGCAGUCGAGGAUCAUUCGCAAUGCGGGAAACCGUGACGAUGCGACGCUGCGUGGAGGAUGACGGCCUUAGGGUUGUAAACUCCUGUCAUUCAGGAAAAACAGCCUUGGAAUUAAUACCUCCGAGGUUUGAUGGUACUGAAAGAGGAAGCCACGGCUAACUCUGUGCCAGCAGCCGCGGUAAUACAGAGGUGGCGAGCGUUGUUCGGAUUUACUGGGCGUAAAGCGUGCGUAGGUGGUAACGUAUGUCGGAUGUGAAAUCCCAUGGCUCAACUGUGGAACUGCAUUCGAAACUGCGAUACUAGAGUACAGGAGGGGUGAGCGGAAUUCUUGGUGUAGCGGUGAAAUGCGUUGAUAUCAAGAAGAACACCGGCGGCGAAGGCGGCUCACUGGAAUGUUACUGACACUGAGGCACGAAAGUUGGGGGAGCGAACAGGAUUAGAUACCCUGGUAGUCCCAACCGUAAACGGUGUGAACUUGGUGUGGGGGGUAUUGAUCCCCCCCGUGCCGGAGCUAACGCGUUAAGUUCACCGCCUGGGGAGUACGACCGCAAGGUUAAAACUCAAAGAAAUUGACGGGGGCCCGCACAAGCGGAGGAGCAUGUGGCUUAAUUCGAUGCAACGCGAAGAACCUUACCAGGGCUUGACAUAUACCUGCACGCUUCCCGAAAGGGAGGAAGCUUUCGAAGGUGGUAUACAGGUGCUGCAUGGCUGUCGUCAGUUCGUGCCGUGAGGUGUUGGGUUAAGUCCCGCAACGAACGCAACCCUUGUGGUUAGUUGCCACCGAAGGUGAUGAGCCUUCGAGCACUCUAGCCAGACUGCCCGUGCAAGCGGGAGGAAGGUGGGGAUGACGUCAAGUCAGUAUGGCCCUUACGCCCUGGGCUGCACACGUGCUACAAUGGUAGAAACAAUGGGAAGCAAUGCCGCGAGGUGGAGCAAAUCCCCAAAUUCUGCCCCAGUUCGGAUUGGAGUCUGCAACUCGACUCCAUGAAGCCGGAUUCGCUAGUAAUGGCGUAUCAUCUACGACGCCGUGAAUACGUUCCCGGGCCUUGUACACACCGCCCGUCACAUCAUGAAAGCCGUCUGCACCCGUAGUCGUUGAUCCAACCCGCAAGGGAGGAAGACGCCGAAGGUGUGGGUGGUGAUU